rnacentral:lncRNA from 1 species
ACCGGAUCCAUAGAAAAUGCUUACCACAUGCUAAGUAUCAGCAUUACUAUCUUUUUAGGUCUUGCAUUUUAAAAAUGGCAAGCCUGUCCCCUUUGUGCUUGAUAAGAACCCCUGAUGCUCAUGUGUUUGAACUCAUUCCUGGUCUCCUCUCUCUUCGCCCUGCCUCAGAUCUGACAGUGGAUGCUCCUUGUCCAGGACCAACCUUGUCUCUCUCUACACCUCUGAUAUGCCAGGAGACAAACUGCAUCAUCUGCCUCCAGCUCUUGGACUCCACGCUGGUCCUGGAAGGCAUCUCUUCUAGAUUGGACACUCUGGGAGAGAAGGGUCACACCAACCUGUUCAGCUUUGUAUUCCCAUUGACCAGAACAAUGCUAAGCACACACUGAAGCUAGAGUAAGUAUCUGCUAAGUGAACAGCUUUUUCUGGUCUUCUUUUCUUCUUUUUUAAUUUUUUUAUUGAAAUCUAGUUGACUGACAAUGUUGUGUUAGUUUCAGUUGUACAGCAAAGUGAUUCAUAUUUUAUAUAUAUAUAUAUAUAUAUAUAUAUGCAUGCAUGCGUGUGUGUGUGUGUGUGUGUGUGUGUGUGUGUGUACCCUGCCAGGCUUCUCUGUCCGUGGGAUUCUCCAGACAAAAAUAAAAUGGAGUGGGUUC